GAUGAACGCUGGCGGCGUGCCUAAUACAUGCAAGUCGAGCGAACAGACGAGGAGCUUGCUCCUCUGACGUUAGCGGCGGACGGGUGAGUAACACGUGGAUAACCUACCUAUAAGACUGGGAUAACUUCGGGAAACCGGAGCUAAUACCGGAUAAUAUAUUGAACCGCAUGGUUCAAUAGUGAAAGACGGGUUUGCUGUCACCUAGAGAUGGAUCCGCGCCGCAUUGGCUAGUUGGUAAGGUAACGGCUUACCAAGGCAACGAUGCGUAGCCGACCUGAGAGGGUGAUCGGCCACACUGGAACUGAGACACGGUCCAGACUCCUACGGGAGGCAGCAGUAGGGAAUCUUCCGCGAUGGGCGAAAGCUUGACGGAGCAACGCCGCGUGAGUGAUGAAGGUCUUCGGAUCGUAAAACUCUGUUAUUAGGGAAGAACAAAUGUGUAAGUAACUAUGCACGUCUUGACGGUACCUAAUCAGAAAGCCACGGCUAACUACGUG
rnacentral:rRNA from 1 species